AGGCCUAUGCCAGAACCACAAGAAUGCCGGUUCUGAGCGUCGUCUGUGACCUACACCACAGCUCAUGGCAACACCGGAUCCUUAACCCACUGAGCGAGGCCAGGGAUGCAACCGGAAACCUCAUGGUUACCAGUCAGGUUCGAUAACCACUGAGCUACGACAGGAACUCCUAAGUUACCUGUUUUUUAUGACCCAGAGUCAUCAACAUAAGGCUGAAUUAUUCACUUAAUUAAUUAAGGGUCUACUGAUAUAAUCUGUUUAUUUCAUGAAAUGGCCUUAGAAAACAUAUAUUCCCCACCCAUACUUACUAUAAUUGGCAGCAGCUGCGGUACUAAUAAUUGGAGCACUCAGUAUGUAAUGAGCCAAGGAUGGCAAAUGGUAGAGAAUAAAACCUAUACAUUUUAAAUCUUCUGUGUUCUAGUUAGGACAAAAAUCACACCAAUGUAUUCUAUUGAAAAACUUGAACAAGUACAUAGAAAAACGAUAAGAGCAAAUAAUGAUAAAUUCUCUGAGGGAAUUAGCUUGAAAAGAAAGGGGACCAGUGGGAGGAAACUACUGUUAGACGGAUCUGGGAAGAAUUAGCCAAGGAGAAUUUACUAUUUAACCACUUAUUGCAAUAAAAUUGACUAGUAAGUUUUAGAAGUGUUUUAAAUCUGAACCUUUUCAUUUAAUAUUUGGGCAAUAGUUCAAUGAUGACGUGAAAUCAAGCAAGCAGUUUUCAGUCAGUUCUGCAUUUCUGGAGAAAAGGUUUUUCUUAAUGCUAAAUUCGGUAGAUCCUGUCCUCCAGCUAAGCAUGUUUCCUGCGGGGCAGGUGGCGGUCGUUGGUGCUGUUACAAACCUUUCCCUCCGGGAACUGGUGGGAUUGUGCCUCACUGCCCUUUGGAAGUUAGGUGUACCGCAUGAUUUGCCUUGACCAAUAAGAUCUGAGUAGGAGUGAUUUGCGUCACUUCCGGGAGGAAGCUUUAAUAGCCAGCAACCAAUUCCUGGUUGCCAUAGUUGCCCUCCCAGCACAGGAGGAGAGUGGAGACGUGGACCCUUCAUCAUCCUGGCUCCCGAGAAAGACCUAGCAUACCACCCACCUCACUGCACAGAGACACCGCGUGGACCAUAUCCAGAUCCGUUCAGAGACCAUGGCUCCCAGACCACAGCCAGGCAGGAGGUCAAUGGACAUGAACAGAGUUUUAGUUUGAAAACUGACUUCUUCAAGAGAAUGCUUCUCGCCAGCUUGUCUCUAAAACUGGAAUUAUUAUAGGAUCAGAUGGGCCAUGUAUCUGGCUUCAGCUGGCAAUGAAGGAAAUCCUGGAUGGUCACCAGAAGCAUGAGGCUCUGUUUUAUCAGAUUAGCAGCCCCUGCAAAAUGAGAAUUCUUCUUAGCAAGUCCCAGAAAUGAUCCUGUUGGCACAAACUCAUCUCUAAAUCUACCAGUGACUCCAAAGGACUGGAUUUGGCCACAUGUACAUUUCUGUAAAAGCCUUGGGGGUGGUACCAACCUCAUCCAAACCAGCUGAGAGGAACCUGGAGGAAAACUAGAGUUCCCUAGAGGAAAACUGAAGUGUCAAUACAAGGACAAGAUAUUAAACUUAAAGGAGCUGUAAUUGCACAUUGAUCAUCUUUGAAUCUCCUACAUCGACUGCUCAGAGGGAGGGAGCAGAAGAUUUAAUCCUGAAGUCUGCUCCCUUUGGAGAGCAGCAGUCUGGCUUCUGGUGGCUUCAGCAGCAGCCACUCCAGUAGUCUGGCAAAUGAAGAGUCUGAAAUGUUCUGGCUUUCUGGAGAACUUGUAGCUAAAAUUCAGGUGAGUACUCUGUAAAAGAAGAGAGUCCUAUUCAAGAGUGUCUUCUAUCCUGGCAAAUGAUCUGUAAAGCACUGAAGAGGAGACCCAUGUGACUCAAGGAUAGAAAUCUACAAAGAGCUGACUUGAUGCCUGUUCCUGAGUGAGUCAUAUGCCCUUGUCCCCUUUGUGGCUUCUCUAUUUGUAAAAAUGAGUGUAAUGGUUUUUAUAAGAUAUGAUCAUGGGGUCUAUUUAGAUGUAUAGUACAGUGAGGACAGUGGCUUUGGAGUCAGAAAGACCUGGACUUGAGUCCUGAUUGUACUACUUACCAACUGCCAGUUUGAGUGGAGAAUCUCUACGUAUCUUUACUUUCUUCAUUUGUAAAAUUGGGGUACUUAUUGUUCCUAUCUCAUAGGGUCAUUGUGAAGAUUAAAUAAGGUGACUGGAAUGUCACAAUAACUCAAUAAUUAUUAGCUAUUAUUUGUAAAGUACUCUAAGCUUCUUAUAGAAAAAAACAUGUAAUAUAAAAUCUAAAUUGUUCAACUGGCAGAUUGGUUUGGGAGGGGGCUUUCAGUUUUAAGGAG